rnacentral:lncRNA from 1 species
AAUGAACUAAGAGAUACACAGCAAAGCUCCACAUACUUUUCCUUUUCUUUGUGCCCGCAGUGUUCUUCAUCAGUGUGCUCUCGCUUUUCAGCUACUACUGUUGGCUGGCUGGAAAAAAUAGAACAAUAGUAAAAAUUAGAGACCAGUCUUUGGUGAUGAAGAGAAAUAUUGGCUACUUCCAGUAUUUUCUAGCUUUGGUUAUGGUUGCAGUUUUCCAGCUCACCUUGUGGGGAUGAAUUCAGAAAAAAGUUACAAAUUGAAAUGAACAUGCCAGAAGUAUUGGCUCAAAUCAACGUUGUCCUAUUAAGCCACUUAGUGAAUCAAAAGACCGCUUGUUGGACUGUUAAUCUCGGUGGCCAGAGAAAGGAGCUGAAGAAGGUGUUGCCAGAUCAGGAACAAAUAAUUACAGCGGCAAUAGAAAAU